rnacentral:lncRNA from 1 species
GACUGUCUCAUCCUCCUCUGCAAAUCCAACAGAAAGGACACAGUAGAGUGGGCAAGAAUGCAAAGAAGGUCUGUGGUUUGGAACUGGCCCAAGCCGAACUAAACUUUUCUAAAUAUACAUUAAACUGUCAACAAAGAGCACCGUGACCCACAGCCUGAAUAAAGGGAGAGCCCCAAGGCCCUCUGAAGCCACUAGUUCUGUGAGUUGUUUUAGGGAGAAGACAGACAACCAAGAAUUAUUUACCUUAUUAGACUGUGCCCAUCCAAGCCCAGGUAAAACUUUUUGAUCAGCAGAAAACUGGAAUUAUUUCCCUUUCUCUAUCCUGGAUUGAGUGUGAAUUCCCCAGAGAAACUUGGCUUUGAGAGCACUAGCUGGACAUAUAGGGGUCCAUUUCCAAUCUGCUCUGAGAAGGGCCCUGUCUUCAUCCUAAAGGAAGGCUUUAGAAAACUGUUAUCUAAGAUCUAGGAUUGAAGAUGGUGAGAACCUGAGGCUGAGCAAUUGGCCCCAAUUCUUCCUGAAGCAUUAUCUGAGAGAGAGAGCCUAGCCUGUGGUUUUUGACCCCUGGCAGAAGGGUGGAGAGAGGGAAGAAGAAAGAAGGAAGAUGAAGACAACUUCCUGCUCAAGACCAACCCAUCUCCCCUCAUUCUGGGGUGACCAAUUGAGAAAACAAUGAUAUCUCCCUUACUCUCAUCUGUUUCCAAAGGCUUUGCUUCAUCUACCAAAAAACCGUGUGAGUGAGAACCAUCUACCCUCAUGUGCUUAUUAAGCUCUUAGAGUCAUUCUCUGGUGACUAUAUUGAUUCAUUUAUUUGUACUCUAGGAACAUAAAACAAUAUGGCAUUAUUGACACAGAAAACAAAGAAUAGACAGAUAGCAUACAGCUGAACAACUUUAAUUACCAGGGUUCCAGGUGUUGAUCCCUAAUGAAUAUCCGGCACCCCGCAUUCCAUCUCGGUGACUGCUUCCAGAAAACACAAGCUGUGACAUGCCCAUUAUGUACUCAAUAAAUCUUUAAUAAUUGAGUGGAUAGAGUGAUGUGAGUUGAGAAGCAUUAUUAAAGAUUAUUUUCCCAAAAAUAAACAAAAAAAAUGUGCCCAUUGGCUGGUGACUAGAAUUCUACAAUUAGAGGUUUAUUCCUUUGUCUUAAUGCUUCUGCUUUUGUAAAUACCCCCGUAAUAAACGCAUGUUAAGUUUAUUAGACACCUAUUCCCCAGUGUAAACAAAGUCCUGGAAGCACAUUCUAACAGGAAGAGAGAGGGAAAAAAGUAUGAGAGCACCAAUGGACAAACAUCAGGAGCAAGUUACCUGGAUUCAGUCCUGGUUCCACCACUUGCUAGAUCUGUGUCAUUAGACCAAUCAAUUGACCUCUCUGUGCCUCCGUUUUUGUUCCU